ACGAUGAUCCGGUGCUUGCACCGGGGAUUAGUGGCGAACGGGUGAGUAACACGUGAGUAACCUGCCCUUAACUCUGGGAUAAGCCUGGGAAACUGGGUCUAAUACCGGAUAUGACUCCUCAUCGCAUGGUGGGGGGUGGAAAGCUUUUGUGGUUUUGGAUGGACUCGCGGCCUAUCAGCUUGUUGGUGAGGUAAUGGCUCACCAAGGCGACGACGGGUAGCCGGCCUGAGAGGGUGACCGGCCACACUGGGACUGAGACACGGCCCAGACUCCUACGGGAGGCAGCAGUGGGGAAUAUUGCACAAUGGGCGGAAGCCUGAUGCAGCGACGCCGCGUGAGGGAUGACGGCCUUCGGGUUGUAAACCUCUUUCAGUAGGGAAGAAGCGAAAGUGACGGUACCUGCAGAAGAAGCGCCGGCUAACUACGUGCCAGCAGCCGCGGUGAUACGUAGGGCGCAAGCGUUAUCCGGAAUUAUUGGGCGUAAAGAGCUCGUAGGCGGUUUGUCGCGUCUGCCGUGAAAGUCCGGGGCUCAACUCCGGAUCUGCGGUGGGUACGGGCAGACUAGAGUGAUGUAGGGGAGACUGGAAUUCCUGGUGUAGCGGUGAAAUGCGCAGAUAUCAGGAGGAACACCGAUGGCGAAGGCAGGUCUCUGGGCAUUAACUGACGCUGAGGAGCGAAAGCAUGGGGAGCGAACAGGAUUAGAUACCCUGGUAGUCCAUGCCGUAAACGUUGGGCACUAGGUGUGGGGGACAUUCCACGUUUUCCGCGCCGUAGCUA
rnacentral:rRNA from 1 species